rnacentral:lncRNA from 1 species
AUGAUCUGAGUUGUUUAGCUUAUAGAGCAGAAAUAUCAAGUUGAUUGAAAAUCGGUAGUCAUACGAUCGAACACAUUUGUUUUUAAAAGAAAAUGCAUGGUCGGCAUUUAGACCGUUCAUAUUCUUGGACCAUAGAGAAUCUCGAUCUUUUUAUAUUUUUUGAUAUGUACAUGUACAUGCAUAGAGAGGAGAUCAAUGGAAGAAACAAGAGCAAAGACAAGUAGCUGGGCAUCAAAACAAAACAAAAUGGG